rnacentral:rRNA from 1 species
AGUGAACGCUGGCGGUAGGCCUAACACAUGCAAGUCGAACGGCAGCACAGUAAGAGCUUGCUCUUACGGGUGGCGAGUGGCGGACGGGUGAGGAAUACAUCGGAAUCUACUUUUUCGUGGGGGAUAACGUAGGGAAACUUACGCUAAUACCGCAUACGACCUACGGGUGAAAGCAGGGGAUCUUCGGACCUUGCGCGAUUGAAUGAGCCGAUGUCGGAUUAGCUAGUUGGCGGGGUAAAGGCCCACCAAGGCGACGAUCCGUAGCUGGUCUGAGAGGAUGAUCAGGCACAAUGGAACUGAGACACGGUCCAGACUCCUACGGGAGGCAGCAGUGGGGAAUAUUGGACAAUGGGCGCAAGCCUGAUCCAGCCAUACCGCGUGGGUGAAGAAGGCCUUCGGGUUGUAAAGCCCUUUUGUUGGGAAAGAAAAGCAGCAGGUUAAUACCCCGCUGUUCUGACGGUACCCAAAGAAUAAGCACCGGCUAGCUUCGUG